ensembl:snoRNA
GUGGCCCUGAAUCAAGGCCAGCAGCUUCUUGGCACUGUUGGUUUUAAACAGGAACCUAAAGAGAUGUCUUUCUAUGAUCUGUUGGCCAUUUCAGAACUUGACAGUGAAACGAUCAAUUCACUACAAAGAAACAGCU